rnacentral:lncRNA from 1 species
AGCCGACGGACCAACUGUGAGAAGCAGAGUGGCUGUUGCUGGAUCUUGGCAGUCAGUAAGGCAGGCAGUCAGAGCCGUGACCACAGGCAGACAGACAAAUGGGCAUACAGAAGCUCAAAUGGAUGCUACCUGUGUGGUUUUAACGCUGAGAAGACAUCCUCCUGACACCUAAAAGGCAUAGGGAAGCAGAGUAGGAAACUGAAUGUGUUGCAGUCCCUUUCCUUGAGGUGUCUUCCUUUCCCCAGACGUCCUCCUGCCAUGACCGUGCUGGGAAAUUCACAGUGGCUGAGGUGUCUGUUCCAACGCUGGAAGUGGUAAAGACCUUUAAGCACAUGGGUGCUCAAAGGGCCACACUUUUGCAAGAUUCAUUCUUUAGCAUGACAGCACUGGGCCUUUCUAUGGCAAAACACUGAGGUGACAAGGGCACUAUCCGAGCAUAUCACUGCACCAGAGGGAGGCCAAACAUUUCCUAACAACCGUUCCAGUGGGGAGUUCAAACCCGGGAACAGCUGCAGA